CCUACGGGUGGCAGCAGUGAGGAAUAUUGGUCAAUGGGCGGAAGCCUGAACCAGCCAAGCAGCGUGCGGGAUGAAGGUCCUACGGAUUGUAAACCGCUUUUGCACGGGGACAACAUCCUCCACUUGAGCCUGUCUGCAGGUACCGUGCGAAUAAGGGCCGGCUAACUCCGUGCCAGCAGCCGCGGUAAUACGGAGGGCCCGAGCGUUAUCCGGAUUUAUUGGGCUUAAAGGGUGCGUAGGCGGGAGCGCAAGUCAGCUGUAAAAUCGCGCGGCUCAACCGCUCCCCGCAGUUGAAACUGGGGGGCUGGAGUGGACGACAGGCAGGCGGAAUGCGUGGUGUAGCGGUGAAAUGCAUAGAUAUCACGAGGAACCCCGAUUGCGAAGGCAGCGUGCCGGGGUGCGACUGACGCUGAGGCUCGAAGGUGCGGGUAUCGAACAGGAUUAGAUACCCUGGUAGUC
rnacentral:rRNA from 1 species